GUGCCUCUCUCCCUGAGUGUUUGCCAUGACCAGUGCCUUUGCAGAGCCACCUGCACCUCCUGUGAACACCCAGCUCCAGGAUGCAUUUCUGGUUGAGGAGCGCCCGAGAUCUUCAGGGCAGAUCUUAUCAAUCUGGUAAUGGUGGACCUGAGCUCAGCCUCUGCCGAGCCACCUCCUUCUGCAUUCCUGCUGGACUGGGAACAACUUCUCCAAAAGUUUUCUGAUGCUGGCUGAAGCACCCAUGGGUGAGGGGCUGUCUGCUCGUGCUGGGCUUGGGACUGCAGAGGUCCUCCUCAUCCUAGCAGGGCUGUGUGUCAUGUAAGUUCAUCCUGAAGCCUGUUCACUUGAAAAACAGUUGGUCUUAAUGUAUUUUGGUUUUCCUU